UACGAAGGGGGCUAGCGUUGUUCGGAAUUACUGGGCGUAAAGGGCGCGUAGGCGGCCUUGUGAGUCGAGUGUGAAAGCCCUGGGCUUAACCCGGGAAGCGCGCUUGAUACUGCAGGGCUUGAGUGUGGGAGAGGAUGAUGGAAUUCCCAGUGUAGAGGUGAAAUUCGUAGAUAUUGGGAAGAACACCGGUGGCGAAGGCGGCAUCCUGGACCGACACUGACGCUGAGGAGCGAAAGCCAGGGGAGCAAACGGG
rnacentral:rRNA from 1 species